rnacentral:tRNA from 1 species
AUGAUUAUAGUUAAAAUGAAAUAACGUCAUCUGUCUUUGAGACGGUGUAAUUGUUAGUUUGAAUCUGAUUAAUCAUA